rnacentral:lncRNA from 1 species
AGAUGAAGUACCAGAAAUACCUGACGGUGCUGCAGAUGGCCAUCGGCGUCACCCCCUCCAACCGCGGCAGCCUCCUGCCGCUCAAGAGGAAGCUGUGGGUAACGCCAUCCUCUGAAAAUCCUAAUGGUGCUACUUCUAGUGUCAGCCAAGGAAAACCCUCUUUAAGAAGAAUUAAAGGGAGAUUACACAGAAGCAAAAGCCUUGAUAGCAUCGAUUUCUGUGAGCUCACUACUUUCUACUCUGAGACUGGUGGAACCCUUAGAGGCCUCGGGGACCUGUUUUGACACAAAACUGCCUUUUGACUUUGAACACAUCCUAAGUUUUUUUCCACCUUGGGCACCUGGCUGAUGAGAGAGGAGCUGGAGGUGAAAUGGUGAGAAUGCGGUGGAAGGAGAGCCCAUGGAGGGACAUGGACAACACUUCUGGACUUCCCGGUUCUGUGAGAGAGUGUGGCCCGUUCCCCUGUUCUCACUCCCACUCUUAUCUCCAGUGCUUUCCUUACCAGUGUGAGAGCCUGAAAGAAACUGCAGGGAGCAUCAUGGACUCCUCUGCUCUGGGCACAGAGUGAUGAUCAAGUGGUUAUGGUGGUA